AUACAUAUUACACAUGAGACCAUGGACAUAUAUAUACGUUAAUAACACAUCAUGGACUUUUAAACCACAAAGAAACAUAAAAACAUGGACCAUAGACUGUCAGUAACAUGUCAUGGUCUCAUUUAUGCAUAUUACACAUGAGACCAUGGACCAUGGACAUAUAUAUCUGUUAUUAACACAUCAUGGACUCUUAUAAAGCUAUGCAACAGAAGACCAUGGACCAAUUAGACUUGUCAGUAACAUGUCAUGGUCUCAUUUACGCAUAUUACGCAUGAGACCAUGGACCUAUACAUAUGUUAUUAACACAUCAUGGACAUUUAUACCACAAUAACACAUAAAACCAUGGACCAAUUAGAUUGUAUCAUGCCAAGGUCUCUUUUAUACACAUUACAAAUGAGACCAUCGACCUAUGUAUCUGUUUUCAACACACAAAGAAACAUAAGACCAUGGACCAAUUAGACCGUAACAUGUCAUGGUCUCUUUUAUACACACUACACAUGAGACCAUGGACCUAUACAUAUGUUAUUAACACAUGGACUCUUAUACCACAAUGAAACAGAAGACCAAAGACCAAUAAGACUGUCAGUAACAUACCCUGGUCUCUUUUAUACAUAUUACACAUGAGGCCAUUGACCUAUAUAUCUGUUAUCAACACAUCAUGGACUCUUAAACCACAAUAAAACAGAAGACAAUGAACCAAUUAGACUGUCAGUAACAUACCAUGGUCUCUUUUAUACAUAUUACACAUUAGACCAUGGACCUAUACAAAUGUUAUUAACACAUCAUGGACUCUUAUACCACAAUGAAACAUAAGACCAUGGACCAAUUAGAACUUAACAUGCUGUGGCCUCUUUUAUACAUAUUUCGUAUGAGACCAUGGACCUGUAUAUCUGUUAUAAGCAUAUCAUUUUCUCUUUUAUACAUAUCACGCAUGAGACCAUGGACCUAUAUAUUUGUUAGUAACACAUUAUGGACUCUUAUACCACAAUGGAACAGAACACAAUGGACCAAUUAGACAGUCAUUAACAUGCCAUGGUCUAUUUUAUACACAUUACACACGAGACCAUGGACCUAUAUAUCUGUUAUAAGCAUAUCAUGGAAUCUUAUACCACAAAGAAACAGUAGAGUGUGGGCCAAUAAGACUUAUAUAAAUGGUACAGAAGAAGAAUGUAUAGAAACUGGCCACCAUGAUCAAAUAGAGCCUCAGGAAACAGGGGAAGGGGACAAGGUAGUGCAGGAGACCGAUGAAGAACAAGGGGGAGUAAUAGUUCAAGAGACAGGAGAAAGGGCAAGAGCCGUAGGGGGAAACACACGUUAGAUAUGAAGAUCAUUCGAUACAGGUGAAAAGAGAAAGAAUACACUCAAUUUUCAUGGAAGAGAUUACAUUAGAAGAAAAAUGUUUAAAAGUGUGGUGUUUGAUUACGUUGUGGUUUGAUUUGUGGGGUUUGGCAGAAGUUAUUUGGGAUUACAUUCCUGUUUUUCCAGACACCCUGUCAAAUACUUGGAGGCCCAACACCUUAAUAGAUACCAACAAAAAGUAUAAAGACUUUAUACCACUUUCCAUAGGGGAACGUACAGCUUACCAGUCCACAGCAAAUGGAAAUUGCAUUUAUAAUGCAGUGUCCAUUAUCCUCUAUGGAAAUGAAGAUAUGGCUGUGGUACUGAAGCUGGCUUCAGUGCUGAAAAUGGUGGACGAUAUAGUACCAUUUUCAAAAUAUAAGAAUUUAAAGAGAAAACUAUCUGGGGGUUAAAUCUACCCUGCUGCAGGUGAAUGCAGCCUCAACAGCAGAGGAGGUAGAGUAUGGAUGCCGAAAAGAGCUGGUCUCGACUAUUCAACAUCCAUACAGGGAAGGAAGUAAGUAUAAUGUUUCUUAAAAUAAUUUU